GCCGGGCGUAGUGGCGGGCGCCUGUAGUCCCAGCUACUCAGGAGGCUGAGGCAGGAGAAUCGCUUGAAGCCAGGAGGCGGAGGUUGCAGUGAGCUCAGAUCGUGCCACUGCACUCCAGCCUGGACAACAGAGUGAGACUCUGUCUCAA
rnacentral:sRNA from 1 species